GUGAAUCAUCAAAUUUUUGAACGCAAAUUGCACUCUCCUCGGAGAGUAUGCCUGUUUGAGGGUCAGCCUAUAAAAAAUCGACAUCGUUGCUGUUUCGCGGUGGCGUUCGUCGGAAAUUGGGUUAUCUUAAAUCCUUUUGGGUUUUAAGCGACUUAAAAUUUUCUUUUUGUUUACAUGAACUUUUCUACGAUUUAUUUCUUUUCACUUUUACUGUAUCGAUUUUUAUUAGUCGUUAUCAUCUUAACGGAUCACGCACAUAAUCUUUCAUUAACA
rnacentral:misc_RNA from 1 species